rnacentral:rRNA from 1 species
GACGAACGCUGGCGGCGUGCCUAAUACAUGCAAGUCGAACGAGAGCAACCGGUGCUUGCACUGGUCAAUCUAGUGGCGAACGGGUGAGUAACACGUGGGUAACCUGCCCAUCAGAGGGGGAUAACAUCCGGGAACGGAUGCUAAAACCGCAUAGGUCUUCGAACCGCAUGGUUUGAAGAGGAAAAGAGGCGCAAGCUUCUGCUGAUGGAUGGACCCGCGGUGCAUUAGCUAGUUGGUGAGGUAACGGCUCACCAAGGCCGUGAUGCAUAGCCGACCUGAGAGGGUGAUCGGCCACAUUGGGACUGAGACACGGCCCAAACUCCUACGGGAGGCAGCAGUAGGGAAUCUUCCGCAAUGGACGCAAGUCUGACGGAGCAACGCCGCGUGAGUGAAGAAGGGUUUCGGAUCGUAAAACUCUGUUGUUAGAGAAGAACAAGUGCUAGAGUAACUGUUAGCGCCUUGACGGUAUCUAACCAGAAAGCCACGGCUAACUACGUG